UAGGGAAUCUUCGGCAAUGGGGGGAACCCUGACCGAGCAACGCCGCGUGAGUGAAGAAGGUUUUCGGAUCGUAAAGCUCUGUUGUUAAGGAAGAACGAGUGUGAGAAUGGAAAGUUCAUGCUGUGACGGUACUUAACCAGAAAGGGACGGCUAACUACGUGCCAGCAGCCGCGGUAAUACGUAGGGGGCUAGCGUUAUCCGGAUUUACUGGGCGUAAAGGGUGCGUAGGUGGUCUUUCAAGUCGGUGGUUAAAGGCUACGGCUCAACCGUAGUUAGCCUCCGAAACUGGAAGACUUGAGUGCAGGAGAGGAAAGUGGAAUUCCCAGUGUAGCGGUGAAAUGCGUAGAUAUUGGGAGGAACACCAGUAGCGAAGGCGGCUUUCUGGACUGCAACUGACACUGAGGCACGAAAGCGUGGGGAGCAAACAGG
rnacentral:rRNA from 1 species